GAAGCAGCCAUCAUUUAAAGAGUGCGUAAUAGCUCACUAGUCGAGUGACACUGCGCCGAAAAUGUACCGGGGCUAAACAUAUUACCGAAGCUGUGGAUUGUCCUUUGGACAAUGGUAGGAGAGCGUUCUAAGGGCGUCGAAGCAUGAUCGCAAGGACAUGUGGAGCGCUUAGAAGUGAGAAUGCCGGUGUGAGUAGCGAAAGACGGGUGAGAAUCCCGUCCACCGAUUGACUAAGGUUUCCAGAGGAAGGCUCGUCCGCUCUGGGUUAGUCGGGUCCUAAGCUGAGGCCGACAGGCGUAGGCGAUGGAUAACAGGUUGAUAUUCCUGUACCACCUAGUAUCGUUUUAAUCGAUGGGGGGACGCAGUAGGAUAGGCGAAGCGUGCUGUUGGAGUGCACGUCCAAGCAGUAAGGCUGAGUGUUAGGCAAAUCCGGCACUCAUAAGGCUGAGCUGUGAUGGGGAGAGGAAAUUGUUUCCUCGAGUCGUUGAUUUCACACUGCCGAGAAAAGCCUCUAGAUAGAUAACAGGUGCCCGUACCGCAAACCGACACAGGUAGUCAAGAUGAGAAUUCUAAGGUGAGCGAGCGAACUCUCGUUAAGGAACUCGGCAAAAUGACCCCGUAACUUCGGGAGAAGGGGUGCUCUUUAGGGUUCACGCCCAGAAGAGCCGCAGUGAAUAGGCCCAAGCGACUGUUUAUCAAAAACACAGGUCUCUGCUAAACCGUAAGGUGAUGUAUAGGGGCUGACGCCUGCCCGGUGCUGGAAGGUUAAGAGGAGUGGUUAGCUUCUGCGAAGCUACGAAUCGAAGCCCCAGUAAACGGCGGCCGUAACUAUAACGGUCCUAAGGUAGCGAAAUUCCUUGUCGGGUAAGUUCCGACCCGCACGAAAGGCGUAACGAUUUGGGCACUGUCUCAACGAGAGACUCGGUGAAAUCAUAGUACCUGUGAAGAUGCAGGUUACCCGCGACAGGACGGAAAGACCCCGUGGAGCUUUACUGUAGCCUGAUAUUGAAAUUCGGCACAGCUUGUACAGGAUAGGUAGGAGCCUUUGAAACGUGAGCGCUAGCUUACGUGGAGGCGUUGGUGGGAUACUACCCUAGCUGUGUUGGCUUUCUAACCCGCACCACUUAUCGUGGUGGGAGACAGUGUCAGGCGGGCAGUUUGACUGGGGCGGUCGCCUCCUAAAAGGUAACGGAGGCGCUCAAAGGUUCCCUCAGAAUGGUUGGAAAUCAUUCAUAGAGUGUAAAGGCAUAAGGGAGCUUGACUGCGAGACCUACAAGUCGAGCAGGGUCGAAAGACGGACUUAGUGAUCCGGUGGUUCCGCAUGGAAGGGCCAUCGCUCAACGGAUAAAAGCUACCCCGGGGAUAACAGGCUUAUCUCCCCCAAGAGUUCACAUCGACGGGGAGGUUUGGCACCUCGAUGUCGGCUCAUCGCAUCCUGGGGCUGUAGUCGGUCCCAAGGGUUGGGCUGUUCGCCCAUUAAAGCGGUACGCUAGCUGGGUUCAGAACGUCGUGAGACAGUUCGGUCCCUAUCCGUCGUGGGCGUAGGAAAUUUGAGAGGAGCUGUCCUUAGUACGAGAGGACCGGGAUGGACAUACCUCUGGUGUACCAGUUGUCGUGCCAACGGCAUAGCUGGGUAGCUAUGUAUGGACGGGAUAAGUGCUGAAAGCAUCUAAGCAUGAAGCCCCCCUCAAGAUGAGAUUUCCCAACUUCGGUUAUAAGAUCCCUCGAAGAUGACGAGGUUAAUAGGUUCGAGGUGGAAGCGUGGUGACACGUGGAGCUGACGAAUACUAAUCGAUCGAAGACUUAAUCAAUUUUUAAA
rnacentral:rRNA from 1 species